rnacentral:tRNA from 5 species
UGGGAGAUCGUCCAACGGUAGGACUCCAGAUUCUGGAUCUGGCUAUCUAGGUUCGAAUCCUAGUCUCCCAGCCA